GCACUGCUGAAGAGUCUCACAAUAAGACGAAACAGCUGUCCAAUGC
rnacentral:hammerhead_ribozyme from 1 species